UAAUAGUGUAUAUUAAAGUUGUUGCAGUUAAAAAGCUCGUAGUUGAAUGUUGGUGUCGAACGAGCGGUCAGCUUCGGCUGUACUGCUCUCUCGACUCCUUCCUUCUGUGGACUACGUCGCACUUUACUGUGUGGCGCUAGGACGCAGAUCGUUUACUGUGAAAAAAUUAGAGUGUUCAAAGCAGGCCGUACGCUUGAAUACAUUAGCAUGGAAUAAUGGAAUAGGACGUCGGGCCUGUUUUGUUGGUUCUAGGACCGUCGUAAUGAUUAAUAGGGACAGUUGGGGCCGUUUAUAUUCCGUAGUCAGAGGUGAAAUUCUUGGAUUUACGGAAGAUAAACUACUGCGAAAGCAUUCGGCAAGGAUGUUUUCGUUAA
rnacentral:rRNA from 1 species